GAUGAACGCUAGCGGCAGGCCUAAUACAUGCAAGUCGAACGGUGUCUUCGGACAUAGUGGCGCACGGGUGCGUAACACGUAUGCAACCUACCUUACAUUGGUAUAAGAUGGGCAUGCGUCUGAUUAGCUAGUUGGCGGUGUAACGGACCACCAAGGCGACGAUCAGUAGGGGUUCUGAGAGGAAGGUCCCCCACACUGGCACUGAGAUACGGGCCAGACUCCUACGGGAGGCAGCAGUAGGGAAUAUUGGGCAAUGGUCGGAAGACUGACCCAGCCAUGCCGCGUGCAGGAAGACGGCCCUCUGGGUUGUAAACUGCUUUUAUCUGGGAAGAAAAAGGCCAUGCGUGGCAAAUUGCCGGUACCAGAUGAAUAAGCACCGGCUAACUCCGUG
rnacentral:rRNA from 1 species